GACGAACGCUGGCGGCGUGCUUAACACAUGCAAGUCGAACGGAAAGGCCCUGCUUGCAGGGUACUCGAGUGGCGAACGGGUGAGUAACACGUGGGUGAUCUGCCCUGCACUUCGGGAUAAGCCUGGGAAACUGGGUCUAAUACCGGAUAGGAGCCAUUUUUAGUGUGAUGGUUGGAAAGUUUUUUCGGUGUAGGAUGAGCUCGCGGCCUAUCAGCUUGUUGGUGGGGUAAUGGCCUACCAAGGCGGCGACGGGUAGCCGGCCUGAGAGGGUGGACGGCCACAUUGGGACUGAGAUACGGCCCAGACUCCUACGGGAGGCAGCAGUGGGGAAUAUUGCACAAUGGGCGCAAGCCUGAUGCAGCGACGCCGCGUGGGGGAUGACGGCCUUCGGGUUGUAAACUCCUUUCGCUAGGGACGAAGCUUUUGCGACGGUACCUAGAUAAGAAGCACCGGCUAACUACGUG
rnacentral:rRNA from 1 species